UGGGGAAUCUUGCACAAUGGGGGCAACCCUGAUGCAGCGACGCCGCGUGAGCGAUGAAGCCCUACGGGGCGUAAAGCUCUUUCGACCGGAACGAUAAUGACGGUACCGGGAGAAGAAGCUGUGGCUAACUACGUGCCAGCAGCCGCGGUAAUACGUAGGCAGCAAGCGUUGUUCGGAGUUACUGGGCGUAAAGAGUGCGUAGGCGGUUUUCUAAGUUCGGUGUGAAAUCUCCCGGCUUAACUGGGAGGGUGCGCCGAAGACUGGGAAGCUGGAGUGUGGGAAAGGCAGGCGGAAUUCCUGGUGUAGCGGUGAAAUGCGUAGAUAUCAGGAGGAACACCGGCGGUGUAGACGGCUUGCUAGACCAUAACUGACGCUGAGGCACGAAAGCGUGGGUAGCAAACA
rnacentral:rRNA from 1 species